rnacentral:lncRNA from 1 species
UAAUGAUUGAAGGUGGGUGAGCUCAGUAAACUCUCAGUGCGUUCACAGAUGCUUGAAUAUGACUCAGCUUUUAGUAGAAAUUGUGUUCCAGAUAAAUUUUCAUUUCUCACUAUUCUCUCCUGGUCUUCAUAGCUCCCAGUACAGCUCUGGGCAUAUAUACAAAUAUAUACCUUAAUUUUAACGAUAAUAUAAUCUAUUUUAUAUGUUUAUCUUUGCACCGAUCUGCUAACACAGUGCAUUUUGGUUAAGAAACUGUUGAACAGCAUUCGUCACUAACUAUAUGUAUCUUUGGAGGUGUACUAUUGGGAUUAGUACUGUCCUGUCCUGAUGACUUACCAUUAUUACAUAGAAAAAGAUGUGUUACGACUGGUAUUGACUGCAAAUUCAAAAGCUGAGAAUUUACUUACAAGGAAGAUAUAGCUUACUUAGGCAGAGUACUUGGAUUGCUUAUUAAUUGACCACAUUUUGUAGGAUAUUUUCCAGUAUGAUGAAAAAUGAACUCAAAUAUCCAAGAAGAAAGAAUGCAAGUCACAUUGGAUGGUACGUGGGAUAUUUCUAAAAUGUUGGAAGAUAACACUGUAUUCAUAAAGGUUCAGGAAGAACUAUCAGAGCAUGUUUUUUUUCACAUACCUGAUUAAGCUGAGUCAAUCAUGGAUAUGGUACUGGAAAAGCACAGUCAAUUUACAGACCCAGAUACAACUUCAGUCUAGAUGUGAAGAGACGUUCAGCUGUGUCUAGCGUGGUUGGGAGCAUAUGUGUCACACAAGGAAGGACCAGCAGAGCUCUAAUCAGUCAUUUCCUAUAAAUUGAGUCUUCAUUUGAAGACGUGUGACUUCAUCUUCUGCUGUGUUUGACCUUGGCCAUUUUGAAUUAUAAAAGCUGGUUAUAAAAUCACAGUAAUAGGUUUUCACUAUUACUUUCUAAUUUCCUACAGAGGGGUUCAACUCAUGGUGCUGGGCAAUAAGAAGGCACCAGUGUGACAAAAGACUGAGCGUUGAGAAGAACUCCUCUGUAUUGCAGCCUUUCUGCUUCACUAUCCUCAGUCUCUCUGGGUGAUGACAUAGUUCUCCAUUACCUCAAGGUGAAACGGAACAAUUAAAUGAAAUAUACAAAGAGUGUGAGAAAGUAGCUGUGACUGAGUCUGCCAAAAGGUGGAAAAGGGCAGGAAGAUGACAUUUAAUUCAGUGAGGUACAGUGUGCUUUACAAGGAUUCCUGCUCUACAAAGGUAAGAUAGCACCAAGUGUCCCACCAUUUGGGCAUUUCUCUUUUCAUCUAAACCAAGUUCCACAUAAUUUGUCCUCUGAAUAGUAAGACAUCUGUUUUUCCCGCAUGAAGCCUAGUAAGAGGAAAUUCUAUGCCAACUCAAAUCAUAACCUGGCUUAUUUGUAUUGAAUUAGUACAGUCAUUAGGAUUUUAACUAUUUUUAUUUGGUGACAGCUUGCUACUGAUACUGCCUUUGGGAAAAGCAGCUCUGUCUUUUAUGUUGCUUUUCUUAUCACUGACAGAAGAAAAUGACUGAUUGGUUUUGGCCUUUGCUUGAAACCCCUUUUCGUGACUUACUUGAGCACAUAUCCUGUAGCAAAUAGAUAUUGCUGGUGUGCACUGCCGUCUUCAUUUACCAGCCUGAACAAGCGCUG